UACGUAGGUGGCAAGCGUUAUCCGGAUUUAUUGGGCGUAAAGGGAACGCAGGCGGUCUUUUAAGUCCGAUGUGAAAGCCUUCGGCUUAACCGGAGUAGUGCAUUGGAAACUGGGAGACUUGAGUGCAGAAGAGGAGAGUGGAACUCCAUGUGUAGCGGUGAAAUGCGUAGAUAUAUGGAGGAACACCGGUGGCGAAAGCGGCUCUCUGGCCUGUAACUGACACUGAGGCUCGAAAGCGUGAGGAGCAAACAGG
rnacentral:rRNA from 1 species